rnacentral:lncRNA from 1 species
ACAUAUGGUAGGCAUUGCGAUGAGUAGAGGUUCGGAUAUGAGAUAUUCGACGGAGCCCUUGUCUUAUUGGAUGCAGAUCCAAUACCCACUAGGGAAGGACCCAUUAGGGUUUGACAUGGGAUCUCUAUAAAUAGGAGGGAUUCACAGCCUCAUAGGCUAGAGUCUUUGCUUGCCUUUCCUAUUCUCCUCUCCCUCUCCACCUCAGAGUAGGCCUGGAGUUUUGAGGAGC